rnacentral:rRNA from 1 species
UACGGGGGGGGCAAGCGUUGUUCGGAAUUACUGGGCGUAAAGCGCGUGUAGGCGGCCCUGCAAGUCGGAUGUGAAAUCCCACGGCUCAACCGUGGAAGUGCAUUCGAAACUGCGGGGCUGGAGUACUGGAGAGGAAGGUGGAAUGCUCGGUGUAGAGGUGAAAUUCGUAGAUAUCGAGCGGAACACCGGUGGCGAAGGCGGCCUUCUGGACAGUAACUGACGCUGAGACGCGAAAGCGUGGGGAGCAAACAGG